rnacentral:rRNA from 1 species
UACGGGGGGGGCAAGCGUUGUUCGGAAUUACUGGGCGUAAAGGGCUCGUAGGGCGGCCAACUAAGUUCGGAUGUGAAAUCCCCAGGCUUAACCUGGGAACUGCAUCCGAUACUGGAUGGCUUGAAUCCGGGAGAAGGGAUGCAGAAUUCCAGGUGUAGCGGUGAAAUGCGUAGAUAUCUGGAGGAAUACCGGUGGCGAAGGCGGCAUCCUGGACCGGCAUUGACGCUGAUGAGCGAAAGCUAGGGGAGCAAACGGGGA